rnacentral:sRNA from 1 species
AGACGCCGGGCCUACCGCGGGAGCGUGAGGGAAGCCGCGCGUUGCGUUCCAAGGCAUCUGUGAGCCCGCGGAGUAUACACCAUGAGCAAAGCUCACCCUCCCGAGUUGAAAAAAUUUAUGGACAAGAAGUUAUCAUUGAAAUUAAAUGGUGGCAGACAUGUCCAAGGAAUAUUGCGGGGAUUUGAUCCCUUUAUGAACCUUGUGAUAGAUGAAUGUGUGGAGAUGGCGACUAGUGGACAACAGAACAAUAUUGGAAUGGUGGUAAGUAAAGAUACAAGAGUUCUCUUGGAGAUUUCAUUUUUCUUUUGGAAUGUGUAUUAACUUUCCUGGUUAGUAACCCCCAGAAAUGGCAAAUAACAGGCAAGAUUAGACUUUCCAUCUCCUUUUUAGUUG